UACGUAGGGGGCAAGCGUUGUCCGGAAUCAUUGGGCGUAAAGAGCGUGUAGGCGGCUCGGUAAGUCCGCUGUGAAAGUCCAGGGCUCAACCCUGGAAUGCCGGUGGAAACUGUCGAGCUAGAGUCCGGAAGAGGCGAGUGGAAUUCCUGGUGUAGCGGUGAAAUGCGGCAGAUAUCAGGAGGAACACCAAUGGCGAAGGCAGCUCGCUGGGACGGUACUGACGCUGAGACGCGAAAGCGUGGGGAGCAAACAGG
rnacentral:rRNA from 1 species